GAUGAACGCUAGCUACAGGCUUAACACAUGCAAGUCGAGGGGAAACGACAUCGAAGGCUUGCUUUUGAUGGGCGUCGACCGGCGCACGGGUGAGUAACGCGUAUCCAACCUGCCCACCACUUGGGGAUAACCUUGCGAAAGUAAGACUAAUACCCAAUGAUAUCUCUAGAAGACAUCUGAAAGGGAUUAAAGAUUUAUCGGUGAUGGAUGGGGAUGCGUCUGAUUAGCUUGUUGGCGGGGUAACGGCCCACCAAGGCGACGAUCAGUAGGGGUUCUGAGAGGAAGGUCCCCCACAUUGGAACUGAGACACGGUCCAAACUCCUACGGGAGGCAGCAGUGAGGAAUAUUGGUCAAUGGGCGAGAGCCUGAACCAGCCAAGUAGCGUGCAGGAUGACGGCCCUAUGGGUUGUAAACUGCUUUUAUAAGGGAAUAAAGUGGGAGUCGUGACUCUUUUUGCAUGUACCUUAUGAAUAAGGACCAGCUAAUUCCGUGCCAGCCGCCGCGGUAA
rnacentral:rRNA from 1 species